GUGCUCGCUUUGGUAGCACAUAUACUGAAAUUGGAACAAUACAGAGAAGACUAGCAUAGCCCCUGCGCAAGGAUGACAUGCAAAUUAUUGAAGCGUAACAUAUUAAA